rnacentral:rRNA from 1 species
CUUGCUUCUUGGGUGACGAGUGGCGGACGGGUGAGUAAUGUCUGGGAAACUGCCCGAUGGAGGGGGAUAACUACUGGAAACGGUAGCUAAUACCGCAUAACGUCUUCGGACCAAAGUGGGGGACCUUCGGGCCUCACGCCAUCGGAUGUGCCCAGAUGGGAUUAGCUAGUAGGUGGGGUAACGGCUCACCUAGGCGACGAUCCCUAGCUGGUCUGAGAGGAUGACCAGCCACACUGGAACUGAGACACGGUCCAGACUCCUACGGGAGGCAGCAGUGGGGAAUAUUGCACAAUGGGCGCAAGCCUGAUGCAGCCAUGCCGCGUGUAUGAAGAAGGCCUUCGGGUUGUAAAGUACUUUCAGCGGGGAGGAAGGCGAUGCGGUUAAUAACCGCGUCGAUUGACGUUACCCGCAGAAGAAGCACCGGCUAACUCCGUGCCAGCAGCCGCGGUAAUACGGAGGGUGCAAGCGUUAAUCGGAAUUACUGGGCGUAAAGCGCACGCAGGCGGUCUGUCAAGUCAGAUGUGAAAUCCCCGGGCUUAACCUGGGAACUGCAUUUGAAACUGGCAGGCUAGAGUCUUGUAGAGGGGGGUAGAAUUCCAGGU